AUUGAACGCUGGCGGCAGGCCUAACACAUGCAAGUCGAGCGAGCGGCGGACGGGUGAUUAAUGCCUAGGAAUCUGCCUGGUAGUGGGGGAUACCGUCCGGAAACGGUAGCUAAUACCUCAUACCAUCGGAUGUGCCCAGAUGGGAUUAGCUAGUAGGUGGGGUAACGGCUCACCUAGGCGAAGAUCCCUAGCUGGUCUGAGAGGAUGACCAGCCACACUGGAACUGAGACACGGUCCAGACUCCUACGGGAGGCAGCAGUGGGGAAUAUUGCACAAGGGGGGCAAGACUGAUGAAGCCAUGCCGCGUGUAUGAAGAAGGCCUUCGGGUUGUAAAGUACUUUCAGCGAGGAGGCGUUACUCGCAGAAGAAGCACCGGCUAACUCCGUGCCAGCAGCCGCGGUAAUAC
rnacentral:rRNA from 1 species